GAUCUAAUGCUUAAAGAGGCCAAGACACCUAAGCAUGACCAAUAUGCAGUAUGUAAAAAUACUCCUUUGAAAGCAUGCCUUGUAAUUCAAGCCACUUUGAUGUGGAGCAUCAAAAUGCUUGUUUCUCUGUAUGCUUAUAGAGAAAAAAGUAUCAACCUGAGGCCCCACAUCAUUUGCCCAUGUAUUAGAAAGCAAUCAUGAGGUACUCGGAAGGAAACCAUGAUCUAUUUCUGGCACCAAGGGAUGAUGGAAAAGGAGAAAAAAUGGAAAUACAAACUGUGUGCAGUAUCUGCUCUGAACUUUAAACAUCAAUGCAGAAUUUUUGGCAGAUGGAUUGUUUCUAUUUUGUUGGUUUUAAGAACUGAGGCCAUAAUUAAGAGGGAUGCUUGGGGGCUUUCGUUUUGUGUCUCUAAAGGUGAAAUUCUUGGACCAGUGCAAGACGGACCAGAGGGAAAGCAUUUGCCAAGAAUGUUUUCAUUAAUCAAGAAAGACAGUCGGAAUGUCAAGGAUGAUCAGACACUGUCAUAAUUCUCACCAUAAAUGAUGCUGACUGUGGAUGCAGCGGCGUUAUUCCCUUGAUCCCCAGGCAGCUUCCAGGAAACUUAAGUCUUUCGGUUCUGGAGGAAAUAUGGUUGCAAAGCAGAAACUUAAAGUAACUGAUGGAAGGGCACCACUAGGAGUGGAGCCUGUGGCUUAAUUUGACACAACACGGGAAACUUCAGCCAGUCCCGAUAUGGACAGGAUUGACAGAUUAAUAGUUCUUUCUCGAUUCCAUGGGUGGUGGUGCAUGGCCGUUCUUAGUUGGUGGAGCUAUUUGUCUGGUUAGUUCUGAUAAGAAAGGAGACUCUGGCAUGCUAACUAGUUAAGUGACCUUGAGCUGUCAGCAUCCCCCAACUUCUUAGAGGGACAAGUGGCAUUCAAACACCCGAUUGAGAAAUAACAUGUCUAUGAUGCCCUUACAUGUCUGGGCUGAACACACACAACACUGACUGGCUCAGUGUGUGCCUACUUUAUGCUGGCAGGUCUGGGUUCCUCGUUGAUGGGGAUCGGGGAUUGCAAUUAUUCCCCAUGAACAAGGAAUUCCCAGUAAGUGCGGGUCACAAGAUUGGGUUGAUUAAAUCCCUGCCCUUUGUACACACAGCCCAUCACUACAAUUGGAUGGUUUAGUGAGGCCCUCGGAUAGUCCCUGCUGGGGUCGGCCCUGCUGGGGUCGGCCCAUGGCACUGGCUGAGUGCUGAGAAGACAGUCAAACUUGACCACCUAGAGGAAGUAAAAAUUGCAAGGAUCAUUA
rfam:Cricetulus griseus cell line CHO-K1, whole genome shotgun sequence.